rnacentral:rRNA from 1 species
UACGUAGGUGGCAAGCGUUGUCCGGAUUUAUUGGGUUUAAAGGGUGCGUAGGCGGUCUAUUAAGUCAGUGGUGAAAUACUCCAGCUUAACUGGAGGGGUGCCAUUGAUACUGACGGACUUGAGUGAAGUCGAGGUAGGCGGAAUUGACGGUGUAGCGGUGAAAUGCUUAGAUAUCGUCAAGAACACCAAUAGUGAAGACAGCUUACUAGGCUUAUACUGACGCUGAGGCACGAAAGUGUGGGGAUCAAACAGG